rnacentral:lncRNA from 1 species
GGGAGGGGCUGUUCUCAGGCGCUGAAUUGCAGUUUACGGGUUUUUUUUUUUUUUUUUUUUUUUUUAAUACAAUUGAAGCAGUAUUUCUGGUAAGAAAAGUUAUUAGGUGUUUAUGGAUGUUUCAAAAGACCAGGGGACGGGGGAAAUGCAGAUCCCAUGUUAAAAUGUACACCUGGGGACUCUUUAACACUUUGAACAGAACCCAAGUUGGGAGGGCAUGAGCUCCUUAAAGUGGUAGUUGUUUCUACUGGGGGAGGGGGUGCUCGUUGGAUGCUGCCCACGAGCACAGGAUUGCCAGGAGCAGCCCCAGGGAGGAUGAGUUAGCUCGGGGGCCAGUGGAUUUACAUCAGAAAGCAGCGGCAUGCAGGCUAGGAGGACUUCCUCCCUCCUAUGCAGAAAAAAAAAAGCCAGAGGGAGGAGAAGAACACAGAAGUAAGGCACAGGGUGAUGCUGGAACAACUGUAGUCCCUGGAGAGAAGGAGGAGAUAAUUUGGUUUCAUGGCAUACAUUUUUUUUUAUGGUUCACUGUGGCUUCGGCUAGCUGCUGCAGUGCAGAAUGUCUCCCCGGAAUAUCCCCAAUGCCCGACACGCUGAUGUAAGCCGUGAUGGGAGGAACACAUAAGGUCUCUGACCACAAACUUAUAGCGAGUAUUGUCCCAGCAAAGAGGGUUUCAGGUGGGUCAUGGUGCGAGGAGAUGAGAUGAAAUCCUACUGCUCAAAUAUGAAAGAAAUGUCAGUGAGGCUUUCAAAAAAAUGUUACGUCAAUCUGAAAAUAAUAUAUGAACUUAGCAAUAGUAAGCUAAGAUAAUGACAAGAUAUUUCUAAACUGCCAAUAAAAACCAUCUAAGUCAAUUCA